UAUGGCCAUAACCACCCUGAAUGCACUCUAUUUUGUCUAAUCUCCGAAGCUAAGCAGGGUCGGAGCCUAGUUAGCACUUGAUGGGAGAAGAAGAAUUGGAAUCUCCAUUU
rnacentral:rRNA from 1 species